rnacentral:rRNA from 1 species
AUUGAACGGGGGCCCGCACAAGCGGUGGAGUAUGUGNUUAANUUNGAUGAUACGCGAGAAACCUUACCUGGUCUUGACAUGUAGAGAACCNUUAAGAGAUUAAGGGGGUGCCUGCUUGCAGGAGCUCUAACACAGGUGGUGCAUGGUUGUCGUCAGCUCGUGUCGUGAGAUGUUGGGUUAAGUCCCGCAACGAGCGCAACCCUUGUUGCUAGUUACCAGCACGUAAUGGUGGGAACUCUAGCGAGACUGCCGGUGACAAACCGGAGGAAGGUGGGGAUGACGUCAAAUCAUCACGCCCCUUACGACCAGGGCCACACACGUACUACAAUGCCCGGUACAGCGAGCUGCGAAGCUGCGAAGCUGAGCUAAUCUCUUAAAACCGGGCCAAGUUCAGAUCGGAGGCUGCAAUUCGCCUCCGUGAAGCUGGAAUCGCUAGUAAACGCAAAUCAGCAUGUUGCGUUGAAUACGUUCUCGGGCCUUGUACACACCGCCCGUCACACCAUGGAAGCCAGUAACACCCGAAGCCGGUGAGCUAACGCAAGAGGCAGCUGUCGAAGGUGGGAUUGGUGACUGGGGUGAAGUCGUAACAAGGUAGCCGUAGGAGAACCUGCGGCUGGAUCACCUCCUU